CAGCCGCCACGGUAAUACGUAGGUCCCGAGCGUUGUCCGGAUUUAUUGGGCGUAAAGCGAGCGCAGGCGGUUAGAUAAGUCUGAAGUUAAAGGCUGUGGCUUAACCAUAGUACGCUUUGGAAACUGUUUAACUUGAGUGCAGAAGGGGAGAGUGGAAUUCCAUGUGUAGCGGUGAAAUGCGUAGAUAUGUGGAGGAACACCGGUGGCGAAAGCGGCUCUCUGGUCUGUAACUGACGCUGAGGCUCGAAAGCGUGGGGAGCAUACAGGAUUAGAUACCCCUGUAGUCCCUGUCUCUUAUACA
rnacentral:rRNA from 1 species